GCAGCCGCGGUAAUACGUAGGGUCCAAGCGUUAAUCGGAAUUUCUGGGCGUAAAGCGUGCGCAGGCGGUUGUGCAAGACCGAAGUGAAAUCCCCGAGCUUAACUUGGGAAUUGCAUUGGUGACUGCACGGCUAGAGUGUGACAGAGGGGGGUAGAAUUCCACGUGUAGCAGUGAAAUGCGUAGAGAUGUGGAGGAAUACCGAUGGCGAAGGCAGCCCCCUGGGAUAACACUGACGCUCAUGCACGAAAGCGUGGGGAGCAAACAGGAUUAGAUACCCUGGUAGUCCACGCCCUAAACGAUGUCAACUAGUUGUUGGGGAUUCAUUUCCUUAGUAACGUAGCUAACGCGUGAAGUUGACCGCCUGGGGAGUACGGUCGCAAGAUUAAAACUCAAAGGAAUUGACGGGGACCCGCACAAGCGGUGGAUGAUGUGGAUUAAUUCGAUGCAACGCGAAAAACCUUACCUACCCUUGGCAUGCCACUAACGAAGCAGAGAUGCAUUAGGUGCUCGAAAGAGAAAGUGGACACAGGUGCUGCAUGGCUGUCGUCAACUCGUGUCGUGAGAUGUUGGGUUAAGUCCCGCAACGAGCGCAACCCUUG
rnacentral:rRNA from 1 species